CGAAGUCGAACGAGAUCCGGAGCGUAGAAUAUGUUCCGGUGGAGAGUGGCGGAAGGGUGGAGUAACACAUGGGCGAACCUGCCCUGAAGUUGGGGAUAACCUGUCGAAAGAUGGGCGUAAUACCGAAUGUGGUCGUGCCGUGCAUGCGGCACUAUCCAAAGCUGGGGACCGAGAGGCCUGGCGCUUCAGGAUGGGCCCGUGUCCUAUCAGCUUGUUGGUGAGGUAACGGCUCACCAAGGCGACGACGGGUAGCUGGUCUGAGAGGAUGGUCAGCCACACUGGGACUGAGACACUGCCCAGACUCCUACGGGAGGCUGCAGUCGAGGAUCAUUCGCAAUGGGCGAAAGCCUGACGAUGCGACGCCGCGUGCAGGAUGAAGGUCUUCGGAUUGUAAACUGCUGUCAUGAGGGAACAAUGGCCGGGGCGUGAACAGCGCCUCGGAAUGAUAGUACCUCAAGAGGAAGCCACGGCUAACUCUGUG
rnacentral:rRNA from 1 species